UGCCACAGCCUUGUCACCCUGCAGCCUAAGACCUAUUACUCAAUGAAGCUCAGCAGGCUUGAGCCUGGUCAGUUCCUGAAUGGGAGACCACAUUUCAAACUAGGUUGCUGUUGGAA
rnacentral:rRNA from 1 species